rnacentral:rRNA from 1 species
UACGUAGGGGCCUAGCGUUGUCCGGAAUUAUUGGGCGUAAAGAGCUCGUAGGCGGUUCGUCGCGUCGGCUGUGAAAACCUGAGGCUCAACCUCAGGCCUGCAGUCGAUACGGGCGGACUUGAGUACUGCAGGGGAGACUGGAAUUCCUGGUGUAGCGGUGAAAUGCGCAGAUAUCAGGAGGAACACCGGUGGCGAAGGCGGGUCUCUGGGCAGUAACUGACGCUGAGGAGCGAAAGCGUGGGGAGCGAACAGG